UGGGAAGGGGCUUCUCAGUGGAUGCG
rnacentral:piRNA from 1 species